CUGGGCCUGGGUCGGCGUGGGGCGCCGGGUCGCGGUCGGCGGUCUGGUGGUGCGGACCGGCGUGGUUCUGGCCGGGGGCCGGGCCC
rnacentral:tRNA from 1 species